ACCAUCAAUGACCCAUUGUUUCCCUGGUUGCAAAACCUUACUCUGCCACUGGCUGGGCCUCAUUUUAGCUUCUUCCCUCUAGCUGCAGCAGUCCCUGCUUUGGCUGCUUCUGUUCAUAGGGCUGGAGUCUCUAAGUGGUUCCUCUGUGCAGUUUUCCUCCCAGGCCACAAGGUGAGGGGACAAAGGAAGGCAGCACCUGGGUUUUAGUGCCCCCAAAGUUUGUGGGUAAAGUCUCCCCUGUACAGCUCUGGAUCCAGGAGGAGUUGGAGGGAGGGAUAGCCCCAGCUGAGCCUUGUUAUACACACACACACACACACAGACACCAAUGCAGCAGUCCCCGCUUUGGAUGCAUCUGUUCCUACUGGCUGGAGUCUCUGGCUGACUCCUUUCUGCAAUGCAUGAAUACUCUGCUUCAUCAGAUUCAGAACAAUCACAGGCCUAAGCAGCUGAACAAAUGGAGGAUGUGAUAUAUGCUGCUGGAGCAGCCCUGUACCAACCAAUUGUCCAAGUAUGGAUACAUCUGGACAACUCAAUGGCAGAGAUAAACUGCUGCUCUCACCAUGCACUUGGUAAAAACCUUCAGUGCUGACAAUAGGCCAAAGGGAAAUAUGGUGAACUGGUUAUCUCCUCCUCUUACCAUGAACCUCAGAAACCUUCUGUGGCCAGGGUGGAUUGCCACACAGAAAAAGGCAUCUGUAAGAUAAGGGCAGCAUACCAAUCACCUGGAUAUAGAGAAGUAUAAUUGACACAAUGGAAACCAUGUGAAAUUUCAACUUUUUGAUGUAUCUAUUCAGGUUUUGAAGGUCUAGAAUAGGACCGAGAACCCCUCUUGCUUUGGGUAUUAGGGAAAUACCGGGAAUAAAACCCCAUGCCUUGAUGCAGACAAGGCACUUCCUCUGUAGCUCCAAAGGAAUGUAGAGUCUGAACUUGUUUUAGAACAGACUCAUGACAUGGGUCCCUGAAAAGGGACAGAUGGUGGGGGAGGAAAUAGAAAGAAACUGCAGGAUAUAUAUGCUGAGUCCAUCGUGCUUAGUACCCACUUGUCUGAAGUGAUGGUUUGCUAUGCCUGUAGGACAUGGAAUAACUUGCUCCCAAAGGAAGGGAAAGGAACACGGAGAUCCAAGCUGGUAGAUAUGCUGUUCUUGACAGAGGAGUAAAAUGUUGCUCCAAGGCCUGAGAUUGCCUGGAAAAAGCAACUGAAGAAGCAGAAGGCGGAGGCCUCCUCUUCUGUGCUCUGUGGUUGCAUCUAGACUGUAACCAUGAUGAAUGGUGCAUAGUUACUGCCAUCAUCAUGACCCUCACAGCAGAAUCUGCUGCGUCCAAGGAAGCCUUCAGGGCCAAUCAAGAGACCAGAUGACCUUCUGCUAAGAUGGAUUGGAAUUCAUCCCUCGAGUCUUCUGGCAACUUAUUUAUAAAUUUAGACAUUGCCUCCCAAGUCAACAGGGCAUGGUGGCUGACAAUUCUAAGUUGUAAUCAGCAGCUGAAUAAAACUUCCAUCUAAAAAAGUCUAGCUUUUUUGCAUCCUUUUCUUUUGGGGUAGCCUUAGCCUGACUUUGGCAAUGCUUUUCAUUUACUCCAGCUACCACCAGUGAACCUGGUACAGGAUGUGACUAAAACUGUUCAAAACCUUGGGAAGGAACCUGAUAUUUCACUAGGUAUGCUUGUCUACAGGGGAUACAGAGAAUGAAGUUUGCUGGAGUGACUUAAUAGGCUGCAUUAUUGCCUAGUUUAGAGGGAGGGCUCCCUUCCCUGCUUGUAGUUGGGUGUACAAUAUAAACAAGUUUGUGAAGAUUUUCCUCCAUCUGAAUACCAUCAGAUUCUCAAUGACAACCUGGACUCUUUACAGUGGGAAGUGUAAGAACCCACUUCUGAUUCUGAUUAGGAGUACUCGUACUCGGAAGACCAGGGUGGAGCAGCACUGGGAAGAGUCACUGGAGACUGGUACCAAGAUCUGCACCCAAGACAACAGAGCUGGUGGCAGCAUUAGUGUCUUUCUAGCUAUUGGUACCAAAUGUUGUUGAAUACGUAUUGGAGGCCUACAUACCAUUGUUGACAAUGCUGACAAGACGGUACCAUCCCGGAGAUCAAGGGCAUUGAAGCAGUCACUAAUGCCAGUGCCAAAGUCUACCCAGUUUGCACUGAUACUGAUAGAGGACCUCGCCCUAGAGUAAAUGGGGAAUCCAGUACUGAAAGACAGCUGCAUAGGCCUCUGGCAUUGUUGAUACUAAGGGCAGGUCUGCCCUAGAAGCACUACAUCGAUGCAACUGCGUUGCUGUAGUGUGUCUAGUGAAGACGUUCU